rnacentral:rRNA from 1 species
UACGUAGGAGGCAAACGUUAUCCGGAUUUACUGGGCGUAAAGCGCGUGUAGGUGGUUCUGUAAGUAGGGCGUGAAAGCUCCCGGCUCAACUGGGAGAGGCCGUUCUAAACUGCAGAGCUAGAGGAUGGUAGAGGGAGGUGGAAUUCCAGGUGUAGCGGUGGAAUGCGCAGAUAUCUGGAGGAACACCAGUGGCGAAGGCGGCCUCCUGGACCAUUCCUGACACUCAGACGCGAAAGCUAGGGUAGCAAACGGGAUUAGAUACCCCGGUAGUCCCUGA